CAUGUCUCAGUACAUACCGAACCAAGGUGAAACCGCGAAUGGCUCAUUAAAUCAGUUGUGGUUCCUGGGAGCCAAUGCUGUCCUACUUGGAUAACUGUGGUAAUUCUAGAGCUAAUACAUGCCUCGAAGCUCGGACCCGCGAGGGAAAGAGCGCAGUUAUUAGAUCAAAACCGAUCGGGCCUUCGGGCCCGUCCCAACCUUGAUGACUCUGGAUAACCACAUGCCGAGCGCAUGGCCUCCGUGCCGGCGCCCUAUCCUUCAAGUGUCUGCCUUAUCAGCUGUCGAUGGUAGGCUAUGCGCCUACCAUGGCUAUCACGGGUAACGGGGAAUCAGGGUUCGAUUCCGGAGAGGGAGCCUGAGAAACGGCUACCACAUCUAAGGAAGGCAGCAGGCACGCAAAUUACCCACUCCCGGCUCGGGGAGGUAGUGACGAAAAAUAACGAUGCGGGACUCUUUACGAGGCCCCGCAAUCGGAAUGAGUACACAUUAAAUCCUUUAACGAGGAUCCAUUGGAGGGCAAGUCUGGUGCCAGCAGCCGCGGUAAUUCCAGCUCCAAUAGCGUAUAUUAAAGUUGCUGCGGUUAAAAAGCUCGUAGUCGAGAGCCUGUGUCGGACCGACGGUGCGCCGCCCGGCGUGACUGUCGGCUUUCCGCACAGCUCGCCGGCCAGCACGGGGUGCUCUUCACCGAGUGUCCCGGGCGGUCGACAAGUUUACUUUGAAAAAAUUAGAGUGCUCAAAGCAGGCCCUAGUGCCCGCAUAUCUGUGCAUGGAAUGAUGGAAUAGGACUUCGGUCUUAUUUUGUUGGUUUUCGAGACCCGAGGUAAUGAUGAAUGGAAUCUGUCGGGGGCAUUCGUAUUGCGACGCUAGAGGUGAAAUUCUUGGACCGUCGCAAGACGAACAACUGCGAAAGCAUUUGCCAAGUAUGCUUUCAUUGAUCAAGAACGAAAGUCAGAGGUUCGAAGGCGAUCAGAUACCGCCCUAGUUCUGACCGUAAACGAUGCCAACUAGCGAUCCGCCGGUGUCAAUACCAUGAUCUGGCGGGCAGCUUCCGGGAAACCAAAGUCUUUGGGUUCCGGGGGAAGUAUGGUUGCAAAGCUGAAACUUAAAGGAAUUGACGGAAGGGCACCACCAGGAGUGGAGCCUGCGGCUUAAUUUGACUCAACACGGGGAACCUCACCAGGCCAGGACGCUGUUAGGAUUGACAGAUUAAGAGCUCUUUCUCGAUUCAGUGGGUGGUGGUGCAUGGCCGUU
rnacentral:rRNA from 1 species